rnacentral:rRNA from 1 species
GAGUUUGAUCAUGGCUCAGAUUGAACGCUGGCGGCAGGCUUAACACAUGCAAGUCGAACGGAAGUUACUAGCUUGCUAGUAACUUUAGUGGCGAACGGGUGAGUAACAUUUAGGAAUCUGCCUCAUAACGGGGGAUAGCUCGGGGAAACUCGAAUUAAUACCGCAUACACCCUACGGGGGAAAGGUGGCGCAAGCUGCCGAUAUGAGAUGAGCCUAAAUCAGAUUAGCUAGAUGGUGGGGUAAAGGCCUACCAUGGCGACGAUCUGUAACUGGUCUGAGAGGAUGAUCAGUCACACCGGAACUGAGACACGGUCCGGACUCCUACGGGAGGCAGCAGUGGGGAAUAUUGGACAAUGGGCGAAAGCCUGAUCCAGCUAUGCCGCGUGUGUGAAGAAGGCCAUAAGGUUGUAAAGCACUUUAAGCAGGGAGGAAGAACUUUUAGUUAAUAGCUAA